rnacentral:lncRNA from 9 species
CCAUAAACAAUAUGCAGAUGAGCACGACAAGAGAGCAGGUAUAUCUGUACUAGAUUAUCAGUAGGUAACAACCGUGGUUUCCUUUAUUUUAGUUGCAAGAAGCACAAGAUCGAUAUAUGGAGGCCGCGAAAUGUAUUGAGAAGAUGCAGCAUCAAGUGCAAAAGUAAGAUUUAAAGCAGCACAGAGAAUAAGUAGGGAUUAAGUACGAAGCACCUAGGCAGUACAGUGUAAGAAUUAUACCAGGAAAGAUGACAAAUAAGACAUCAUUGGGGAGCCGGGUAAAAAUUUCAGUUUUGGGGUGUUGUGAAAUGGCUUUUCCCCAUUAUUUCUAAAUUUCUCUCAUUAUCCGCAAAACCCUGCUAGAAAAACAACAAAAUGGCCAAAACAUCUACCUUUCAAAAAUUUCAGAAUUUCUGCAAUGGAACCUGUGGAUGUUUGUGUACAAUUGGUGUGGUGGUCUUAACAAUCUAUGUGUGAGGAUAAUUAUUUUGAAAUACACAUUCUAGGCUUGAAAAGGAAAAUGCCGAGUUAAAAGAUACAAACAAAAUGCAAGCGGGCACAAUUGAAGAGCUUCAGAGAAACCCGCCGGGUCCAAGUUCGGCUUGAAAAGGAAAAUGCCGAGUUAAAAGAUACAAACAAAAUGCAAGCGGGCACAAUUGAAGAGCUUCAGAGAAACCCGCCGGGUCCAAGUUCGGCUUGAAAAGGAAAAUGCCGAGUUAAAAGAUACAAACAAAAUGCAAGCGGGCACAAUUGAAGAGCUUCAGAGAAACCCGCCGGGUCCAAGUUCGGUAAGUCGGGUUUUUUCUGUCAUAACCGAAAAGGAAUUUUAAUUGUGUUACCAAUAUUAUAUGAGACUAUUUUAGAAAAUAGGAAGAGUCUCACUGAUGAAAAGCAGUUACGGCAUCGAUAGUGGCACUCUUUGCUACGAAUAGCAGAAUUCCUCUUUAUAGAAGACAUUAACUGAAUUCAUAAAAUGAAUGAUUGUCGUAGGAAGAUUUUAAGUAGAAAGAUUGUGGAAGCGCUCCCAUUGUGGCU